GCCUUCUGCCAUGACUGGAAGCUUCCUGAGCCCUCCCCAAAAUCAGAAGCCUGCUAUGGUUCCUCUACAGCCUGCAGAGCUGUGAGCCAACUAAACCUCUUUUUUUUUUUUUUUUGAGAUGGAAUCUCACUCUGUCAUCAGGCUGGAAUGCAGUGGCACAAUCUCGGCUCACUGCAACCUCUACCUCCCAGGUUCAAGCGAUUCUCCUGCCUGAACUGGUUGUGAUUUUCCUGCUUCUUGGUUUGAUGAAUAAUUUUCAACUCUACCCUGGAUAUUUUGGAUACUAAUUUUGAGACUCUGGAUCCUCUGCAAUCUCCUUGUGUUUACCCAGUAGUCCCUGCUGAGAUGCAGCAUGAAAGCUUAUGAUUGUGAAUUCUGCUUCCCAUGGGUCCUGUCAACACCAUCUCAGCAAACAUGGAACCAGCAGAAGGAGAGACUGGGAAGAUCUGUCCCCUUGUGCAGAGGCAGCAUGCAAGCACACGAGCCCAAACCCCAUGAGGAGCUCCUGCUGCAACUGGGGGCAGUUUCUUCAUAAAAGAUUGAAAUUUGAUGUCAAGCCUCAAGCUGGGAGUAACAGGAGGAAGUGAGCCUCUGGAAACUGCUGUUCUACCGAGGACUCGUGAUCGGCUGCACCUGGCUAGAUUCUGGACUAUCACUGCCCUUACCAGCCAGCUUCGGCCAGCUAAAGUCAGCUGCUCUUUGUGGUUGACAUAAAUUUCAUUUGACAUUUCUACUGACUUCAGAAACUUUUGCCAAUAGAACAUGUGAUGGGGAGACCAGUAUGAAAUACUGAACCUCCUCCUGCACGCCUCCACGCCCUUGUGUAACCUUCUGAUCAUUAUAUAUAUAUACACACACAUAUAUAUCAAUCUUUAUACACACACACAUACACUCACACACACACACACAUAUAUAUAUAUACAGUCCCUUCAGUGACACAGCAUCACCGUGACAGCCACUAUAGCAGCACUUGCAACCUAUCAGUGGUUCUUAAUUCUGGCUACAUCUUAGAAUCACCUAAGGAGCUUUAAAAAAAAUGGCAACGUGUGGGCUCCAUCCCAGACAAAUUGAAACCAAAUCUCUUUCACAGGUAAGACCUGAGUAUCAGAGCCUUUUAAAAGCCCUAGAGGUGAUUCUUAUGCACCAUGUGGGGCUGAGAAUCACUGUUACCAGGCAGGCAGUGAGGUAAUGCAGUUCCCCUACUGAAGUGCAGGUCUGUAAGAACUUGGUGUGCCAAAUGUAAAUUCUCAAGGCAGGGAUCCAGGCACUAAAUAAUGCCAUCAUUGUUUACAGUUCUGAUGGGACCUAAUCCAUCAUUUCAUCCAAUCUCCUUAGUUUUCACAUGUGUAAAUAACUCCAAAGAUGUGAGUUGCCAAGGUUACCUGAUUUGCUCUUCUCCCCAGAAGAUCUGAGAGCCCCUUCAGGCUGGGACCUCACAGCAGGGCACUGCUUUCUGGCAAAAGCCCUCCCUCUCCUGAUUGUCACUGGCCCAGCUUCAGGGGAAGGCGGCCCUUCUAGCACAAUGCCAGAUGUGGGCACCUUUCUAGCUAGGCCUCUCCUCACCCAGCUCAGCAGCCUUGCUCACCUGAGAUGAAUGCCUAUCAAGUCACAGAUGCCACCAAGAGGGCUGGUGCAGCAUCACUAAGAUCACACAGAAUGUGCCGCUGUGAUCAGGAUGUGAGCUGCCCCAAAACAAGAUGGGGCAACUGCAUUUCUGGAACUGCCAGAAAUAUUAAUUCAUAUCAUUACUACAAGUUCCUUCUUGAAGACUUCUGAGUAGACACUGGUUAGUAUUUACAAGGACAUUAAAAACCUCC
rnacentral:lncRNA from 10 species